UCACAAUCGCCGGCCUGAGGCGCAUUGAGGAAUCGCCUGUCCGCCGUGCAGGAACCGUGCGUGGACGAGCCCUCGUUCACUGCGCCCCCGGCGCAGCGCGGGGGGACAGCGCGGGGGCGUUGGCUCCGCGCCCGCUGCCUGCAGCCCGCGGGCCGUGCGGGACGGAGGCCACCGCCUCGCUGGCCGUGCGUUGACGCCGGGAUUGCCGCCCUGGGCGCCGCCCUCCGGGUGCUUUAGCCGGUGGCACUCGAGUGUCACCGUGCGCUACCCCUCGGUGCUGGCACCAGGCUCAGGGUGAGACCGUGGUAUGGCGCAGCUUGUGCUGCAGGCACCCCAUGGUGUGUUCCACCGUGCUUGUCCUGAGAGCUCUCGCGUCUCGGCACUGCCGGCUGGCCCUGCCUGCCAUCUGCAAACACUCUAGGCUUCUCACAGUCUUCUUCCACAUUUGGGAGGCCACAGCUACAAGCCAAGCCUUUGCUGCAUCUCUUAACCCAGAGGAGGAUCAGCUAUCGUCCUUCCCAGAAGGAAGAGUGACCUCCCCCCCACCUCUUUCUCUAAAUUGUUUGCAAAGCAAAAGGAGGGAGCACUACAGAUUCUGUUUGUGA
rnacentral:lncRNA from 1 species